CGGCGCGCUUUAUACAUGCAAGUCGUACGAGAAGCCAGAGCUUGCUCUGGUGGAAAGUGGCGAACGGGUGAGUAACACGUGAGAAACCUGCCCCAAAGACUGGGAUAAGCCGAGGAAACUUGGUCUAAUACCGGAUACCUUCUUUUUAUCACAUGUUAAAAAGAAGAAAUGCUCCGGCGCUUUGGGAUGGUCUCGCGACCUAUCAGCUUGUUAGUGAGGUAAAAGCUCACCAAGGCAUCGACGGGUAGCUGGUCUGAGAGGAUGUCCAGCCACAUUGGGACUGAGAUACGGCCCAAACUCCUACGGGAGGCAGCAGUAGGGAAUCUUGCACAAUGAGGGAAACCUUGAUGCAGCGACGCCGCGUGCGGGACGAAGGCCCUAGGGUUGUAAACCGCUUUCAGUAGGGACGAAAGUGACGGUACCUACAGAAGAAGCCCCGGCCAACUAUGUG
rnacentral:rRNA from 1 species